ensembl:lncRNA
UUUUUUUUUUUUUUUUCUGUUUUUUUAAGGGUCGUACCUGCCUGCGGCAUAUGGAGGUUCCCAGGCUCGGGGUCGAAUGGGAGCUGUAGCCGCCCGCCUCCCCCCCAACCCCGGCAGGUGCCGGAUCCUCGACCCGCCCAGCGAGGCCAGGGAUCGAACCCGCAUCCUCAUGGAUCCGAGUCGGGUUCGUUACCGCUGAGCCACAAUGGGAGCCCCCGUCAAAAUUUUAAAUGUGUUUACUCUUCAAAAGACACAUGAAAAAAUGAGCCAAAGACUCAGAAGAUGUUUUACAAAGCACACCUCACAAAGGAGCCGCCACCACAACAUACAGAGGAUGUUUCCCCAGAGAGAGGGGUUGAUGGCAAGUAGGGACAGCACCCAUCACUGGAGCGGGACCCGGGCAGCGGGACCCCGGGCAGCGGGACCCCAGCCGGCACAGGCCGCUGCCCGGUCCACCUCUCAAAGUGGACACCACGCGUGACCCUGGCAGAGACCUCAUGAGGGAGGACCAGGGGCAGCUGGUAAGCCCACCGGAAGACGCUCACAGGCCAUAAAGAGAUGACCGCCCCCUCCGGAGUGGCGAAGAUUUAAAAACGAACCCUGGACGUCCCCUGGUGGCACAGUAGGUUAAGGAUCUGGUGUUGUCACUGCUAUGGCACAGGUCUGAUCCCUGGCGCGGGGACUUCUGCGUGCCAAGGGGCAGCCAAAACUAAAUAAACGCACCCAUAAAGAUGAGGGCUGUCCACUGUCUGCUCGACACUGGCCCCAGUGCCAAUCACCCUCUUGGCUCCUUGCACGCACGCCGUCCGCGGCCCCGCGGCCCACCCCUGGCAGGCAUCAGGGCAAACGACACAAAGACUCGGGACCCUCUCGGCGGCUCCGUCAUAAAAGCCGGAAGUCCCCGGAUAACCCAGAUUCCAGCACCAGGGGAAGGAGUAAACCAGCUGUGUCCCCAGCCAGAACAGAAUGCGGUCUGCGGACCUGGUUUGCGUCCUGAGCAGACCCGGAGGGCAAGUCAGAGCCGCGGGCAGACAAGAGCUUCCGAGGCUGGGGUGGGAGGGGGCGGCCCAGGCUCCCCUGGUAGCGCCUGUGCCGGGCUGGGGGGGCUGUGACACCGUCGGUUUCCUGGCUGCGACACUGACUGCAGUUUCAAGACACUUGCGCCGGGGGGCAACUGCGUGACGGGUACACGGGAUCGCUCUGCCCCCUUCUGACCCCGGCUCUCAAGUCCCAUGAGCUUAAACGGAAACUAGCGGCCAGGUGGGCACGCAGCGACGGGGCCCUUCCCUGCAGCCCCCAGGCUGGCAUGGGGGUGGGGGGUGGUGACAGAAACAGCAGGAGGGGACAGCCCGGGGCGGGGAGACGUUCUCUGUGCUGACGACUGCGGGGUGGGCAUCUGUCAGUCUCACGCUGCCACGGUUACAGUGAAGUGCACAGACCCCACGUGAAGCUGUGGAGGGUCUGAGGCACCCGACCCCUCACGCCUCACUGGGGGCAGACAUGCGACCCCUCGGGGAGGCCUGGCUGCUCCUUGGGAAUCGGAAGUCACCCCUUCCCUGAGAGCCAGCCCUCGGAGGAUGAAAACACACGUCCAGAAGACGCCCGCCAGAAAGGGGGUUCACGCGUAAGAGCAACACUGGGCAGCAGCCCAGAUGCCAACAGACAAGAGGCCAGACAGGCCGACGGCGCAUCCAGGGCACGGACACUGCCCACAGCCUGCCAGGGACGCGGCGGCAAACCCAUCUCGGAAGACACAGCCCGCAAACGGCACCAGCACUGCUGUCGUCAGACGCAGCCACAGGACAAAGGCAGCGCAGGACGGAAAAAGUCAGGUCCGUGGGGUCCAAGGACAGAGGGGCGUUGGGGGCUUCUGUCCCUCGGCGGGGUGCUGGGGCUCGUGGACUUAUCAGAGGUCACUCGGGUGGCGUCGGGCAAGCCUCAGAGCGGACUGAGCCCCGGGAGAGGCUGGACAGGCUCUGACGGCCCCCUCACCAAAUGCACCGGCGGCGAGAUGGUUUGACGGGAAGUCACCGCACAGGGCACCGCGGGUGGGUGGAGACCCUGCGGCCGCGGGCUCACACGCACUUUCCAGCGCUGCUCCAGUAGGACUGUUUCCCCAGCAAAACGGUGGUGAGAGAGACAAAAAUUACCCCAGCUGCAGACUCGGAAUCUGUGCCGCUUAUUUUAUAUAUAUUACCCCCAAAAGCACAGAGAAAGGGAAUGGCGAUUUUCACCAAAACCCCUCAGUAUUGUCCGCGUCCCCCGUGGACAGGCGAGGGGUGUCGGGGGGGUGCCCCUCACCAGCUGAAGAGCUGGGAUUUGGUUUUUCUGGUGUGUAUGUUUUGCCUUAGGAUUUUUUUUUUUUUUUU